UUCAAAUAUUUAAGUUACUGUGCUGUCACAAAACCUUAAAUUCUGUGAUGGGUCACAUGCAUCUAAUGAAUACAUACAGGACAAUUUGUUGUUUAUUGUCAGCUUUGAGUUUAGGAUGUAUCAUAGGCACCAUACUUAUUUUUGGAGAUGUUUCCCUCAACUGUUAAUGCAAU
rfam:Otolemur garnettii clone CH256-154N14, complete sequence.